UAAAGCUACUAAGAGCUAAUGGAGAAUGCCUUGGUACUGACAGCCGACGAAGGACGUGUAAAGCUGCGAUAAGCUUCGGGGAGUUGCUAAAAGACCUUGAUCCGAAGAAUUCCGAAUGGGGAAACCCUGCAAGGUUAAAACCUUGUAACCCGUAACUGAAUACAUAGGUUGCGUGGAGGAAAGCCUGUGAACUGAAACAUCUUAGUAACAGGACGAAAAGAAAAUAACCGAAUGAUUCCGAAAGUAGCGGCGAGCGAAAUCGGAAGAGCCUAAACAUUAUGUACGUGAUAGACUGCAAUCGUUGUGCAUAUUGGGUUGUGGGACUUACCGUAUAAUUUGCAGAUUAUACAAAGAGUUACAAAAUUAUUUAUUAGCUAAAGACAACUGGGAAGUUGCGCCAUAGCGGGUGAUAGCCCCUUAAGCGACAAUAAAUGAUCUCUUGUAAGUAUCCCGAGUAAGGCGGGGCACGUGAAACCCUGUCUGAAUCCACCGGGACCAUCCGGUAAGGCUAAAUACUAGUCAGUGACCGAUAGUGAACGAGUACAGUGAUGGAAAGGCGAAAAGAACAGUGAGAAGCUGAGUGAAAUAGACCCUGAAACCGUUAGCUUACAAUCAGUCAGAGCACUAUUAAUAGUGUGAUGGCGUGCCUGUUGAAGAAUGAGCCGGCGAGUUAUCUUAUGUUGCAAGGUUAAGGAGUUGAUAUCCGGAGCCAUAGCGAAAGCGAGUUUGAAAAGAGCGUUAAGUAACAUGCGAUAGACCCGAACCUUGGUGAUCUAACCUUGACCAGGAUGAAGCGUGGGUAACACUACGUGGAGGUCCGAACCGACUGAUGUUGAAAAAUCAGCGGAUGAGUUGAGGUUAGGGGUGAAAUGCCAAUCGAACCAAGAGCUAGCUGGUUCUCCCCGAAAUGCGUUUAGGCACAGCGUCAGAUUUAUCUUACAGGAGGUAGAGCACUGGUUUUGUGCGGGCGGCGAAAUGCUGUACCAAACAAUGUCAAACUCCGAAUGCCUGUAAUGUUAUUGUCUGGCAGUGAGGCUAUGAGUGAUAAGAUCCAUGGCCAAGAGGGAAACAGCCCAGAACGCCAGUUAAGGUCCCUAAUAUAUGCUAAGUGGUUAAGGAGGUAGAGUUGCUGAGACAACCAGGAGGUUGGCUUAGAAGCAGCCAUCCCUUGAAAGAGUGCGUAAUAGCUCACUGGUCAAGCGACUCCGCGCCGAAAAUACACCGGGACUCAAGCAUAUAACCGAAACUGCGUCAUAUAGUUUACUAUAUGGGUAGGGGAGCGUUCUGUUGUAGGAUGAAGUAAGAUCGAAAGGACUUAUGGACGAAGCAGAAGUGAGAAUGUCGGCAUAAGUAGCGAAAACAUUGGUGAGAAUCCAAUGCACCGUAAACCUAAGGUUUCCCCUGGCAGGCUCGUCCGCGGGGGGUUAGUCGGAACCUAAGCUGAGGCCGAAAGGCGUAGGCGAUGGACAUCAGGUUGAUAUUCCUGAACUAUCUGGUAAUCGUUAUCCAGAUGCGGAGGGACGCAGGAGGAUAGGCACGCAGCCGAUCGGAAGAGGCUGUUUAAGCGUGUAGCUAGUUUGAGUAGGAAAAUCCGCUCAGGCGUUAUGACGUGAGGCGUAAUGAGGAGGAUCUACGGAUCCGAAGGUGUUGACUCCACACUGCCAAGAAAAACUUCGCACUCGAGAUUAUCGGGUAUCCGUACCGUAAACCGCCACAGGUAGGUAAGUAGAAGAUACUAAGGUGCGCGAGACAACUCUCGCUAAGGAACUCGGCAAAAUCACCUCGUAACUUCGGGAGAAGAGGUACCCUGGUAGAGUGAAGCGAUUUACUCGUGGAGCUUGAUAGGGUCGCAGUGAAUUGGCCCAUGCGACUGUUUACCAAAAACACAGGUCUCUGCUAAGUCGAACAAGACGAUGUAUAGGGGCUGACGCCUGCCCGGUGUCGGAAGGUUACGUGGAAGGGUUAGAGGUAACUCGAAGCUCUGAAACUAAGCCCCGAUGAACGGCGGCCGUAACUAUAACGGUCCUAAGGUAGCGAAAUUCCUUGUCAGGUAAGUUCUGACCCGCACGAAUGGCGUAACGAUAUGGGCGCUGUCUCGGCGAGAGGCUCGGCGAAAUUGGAUUAUCCGUGAAGAUACGGAUUACGUGUACCAGGACAAGAAGACCCUAUUGAGCUUUACUGUAGCUUGAAAUUGAAUUCGGGUUCUCAUUGUGCAGUAUAGGUGGGAGACAUUGAAUCAGGAACGUCAGUUUCUGUGGAGUCAUCGUUGAGAUACCACUCUGUGAUAAUUUGAAUUCUAACCUUGAUCCCUCAAACAACAGGGCAAGGGACAGUUUCAGGUGGGCAGUUUGACUGGGGCGGUCGCCUCCUAAAAAGU
rnacentral:rRNA from 1 species